rnacentral:misc_RNA from 1 species
GAAAUGCGAUACGUAGUGUGAAUUGCAGAAUUCCGUGAAUCAUCGAAUCUUUGAACGCAAAUUGUACUUCCCAGUAAUCUGGGAAGUAUGCUUGGUUGAGGGUCAUCAAAAUAACCUUCGCGAAUUUUUUUGCGGAUUUGAGUUUUCCAGUAUUUAUUCAUUAUAAAAUAAAUGUUGGUGACUUUAAAAUUAUUUUUAUUUGGCAUAAGUUGAAACGUACUAUGUGUUUGGUUCGUUGAUAACUUAUCCAUUUUUAUAUAUUAUGUGCGCACUUAGUUUUUAUACUCUAUGCGAGCAUAUAUUUUUUUUUUGACCUCAGCUCAAGCAAGGAUACCCGCUGAACUUAA